CAGUUCAUAAUCAGACUCAAUCAUGGUCAGGUGAGCUGAUUUGCAGGGCAAAGAACUAGAGUUAGGAGGAUCAUGUGGGAAAGAUGGCGAUGUAGUGAAUUUUAAGGAGGGACAGGAAAUGCAUGGGAGUGAAUGGCGAUAUAAAAAGCAUAUCCGUGUGCUUACAUGUCAUUCAACUCGUUUGCUGUUACAUUGUCAGCAUGCAGUUGGUUGCUUGUGGACACCAAAGUCCCUAGCUAUGGUGCUCCUUAUAAAACAUGUCCUCCAUUGGCGACACCUUGUAGUGGUAAUAAUUCAUUGAGUUAAGGUGACACAAAUUGAAUGAUACACGGCAUAAUGGACACUUUUUGUUAUGGAAUACUUUUUUUUUUUAAUGCGCUUCUGCCUUGGAUAUCCUGUCUAAAUUCACAUAUCACGAUCAGAUCCGGAGUCAUGGAAAUCGCAGUAUACGAGGGCCUCGCCCACACCCUAGCUCCAGUGGCCCCCAGGUAAAUUGAGUUUGAGACCCCUGCUCUAAAGGAAAUGCAGCAGUUUGUUUUGCAGCAGACUAUUAAGGAUAUGUACAUGAAGUCAGGAAAUAUGGCAAGAUGGAUUGUAAACUACAUUAUUGGGGCUGUCACCUUGCAUGGCUGGUAAAAGCAAAGGAAUUUGUAUAAACUGGCCAUGGCCAAUGAUGGAUAACAAAAACUGGAGUGCUUGAGUUGUCACCCAUAUUUUCCA